GGAGUUUAGAGAUGAUAGAAGAUAGCCUGGGCCCCUGGUAGAGAUGAUACAAGAUAUAGCCUGGCCCCUGGAUGUGUUUAGAGAAGAUAGCCUGGCCACCGCGAUGUGUUUAGAGAUGAUACAAGAUAGCCUGGGCCCUGGAUGUGUUUAGAGAUGAUAUAAGAUAGCCUGGCCACCUGGAUGUGUUUAGAGAUGAUACAAGAUAGCUGGGCCCCCGGAUCUGUUUAGAGAUGAAACAAGAUAGCCUGGGACCCCAGAUCUGUUAGAGAUGAUACAAGAUAGCCUGGGCCCCCAGAUCUGUUUAUAGAUGAUACAAGAUAGCCUGGGACCCUGGAUCUGUUUAGAGAUGAUACAAGAUAACCUGGGCCCCCUGGAUCUGUUUACAGAUGAUACAAGAUAGCUGGCCCCCAGAUCUGUUUUAGAUGAUACAAGAUAGCCUGGCCCCCAGAUCUGUUUAGAGAUGAUACAGAUAGCCUGGGCCGCCUGAUCUGUUUAGGAUGUGAUACGAGAUAGCCUGGGCCCCCAGAUCUGUUUUAGAGAUGAUACGAGAUAACCUGGGCCCCAGAUCUGUUUAGAGAUGAUACAAGAUAGCCUGGGCGCCCCAGAUCUGUUUUAGAGAUGAUACAAGAUAGCCUGGCCCCCAGAUCUGUUUAGAGAUGAUACAGAUAGCCUGGGCCCCUGGAUCUGUUUACAGAUGAUACAAAAUAGCCUGGCCCCCAGAUCUGUUUAGAGAUGACACAAGAUAGCCUGGGCCCCAUGGAUGUGGUUUAGAGAAGAUCGCUGGGCCCCCGGAUCUGUUUUAGAGAUGACACAAGAUGCCUGGGCCCCCUGGAUCUGUUUAGAGAUGAUACAAGAUAUGCCUGGCCCCCUGAUCUGUUUAGAGAUUAUACAAGAUAGCCUGGGCCCCCUGGAUCUGUUUACAGAUGAUACAAGAUAGCCCGGCGCCCUGGAAGGUUUUAGAGAUGAUACAAGAUAGCCUGGCCCCCUGGUCUGUUUAGAGAUGACACAAGAUAGCCUGGGCCCCUGGAUCUGUUUAGAGAUGAUAAAGAUACCUGGGCCCCUGGAUCGUUUACAGAUGAUAAAGGAUAGCCUGGGCCCCUGGUCU
rnacentral:lncRNA from 1 species